AGCGAACGCUGGCGGCAGGCCUAACACAUGCAAGUCGAACGAACCCUUCGGGGUUAGUGGCAAACGGGUGAGUAACACGUGGGAACCUGCCUCGAAGUGGGGGAUAACGAUUGGAAACGGUCGCUAAUACCGCACGGUUCUGCUCUGAUGGGAAUGGAGCAGAUAAAGAUUUAUCGCUUUGAGAGGGGCCCGCGGCCGAUUAGCUAGUUGGUAAGGUAAAGGCUUACCAAGGCGAUUAUCGGUAGCUGGUCUGAGAGGACGAUCAGCCACACGGGAACUGAGACACGGUCCCGACUCCGUACGGGGGGCAGCAGUGAGGAAUAUUGGGCAAUGGGCGAAAGCCUGACCCAGCAACGCCGCGUGGAGGAUGAAGGCUUUAGGGUUGUAAACUCCUUUUGUGGGGAAAAGAUGGAUCGGUACCCCAAGAAUAAGUCACGGCUAACUACGUG
rnacentral:rRNA from 1 species